GACGAACGCUGGCGGCGCGCUUAACACAUGCAAGUCGAACGGAAAGGCCCUGCUUGCCGGGUACUCGAGUGGCGAACGGGUGAGUAACACGUGGGUGAUCUGCCCUGCACUUCGGGAUAAGCCUGGGAAACUGGGUCUAAUACCGGAUAGGAGCCAUUUUUAGUGUGAUGGUUGGAAAGUUUUUUCGGUGUAGGAUGAGCUCGCGGCCUAUCAGCUUGUUGGUGGGGUAAUGGCCUACCAAGGCGGCGACGGGUAGCCGGCCUGAGAGGGUGGACGGCCACAUUGGGACUGAGAUACGGCCCAGACUCCUACGGGAGGCAGCAGUGGGGAAUAUUGCACAAUGGGCGCAAGCCUGAUGCAGCGACGCCGCGUGGGGGAUGACGGCCUUCGGGUUGUAAACUCCUUUCGCUAGGGACGAAGCUUUUUGUGACGGUACCUAGAUAAGAAGCACCGGCUAACUACGUG
rnacentral:rRNA from 1 species